AUUGAACGCUGGCGGCAGGCCUAACACAUGCAAGUCGAGCGGGCGGCGGACGGGUGAGUACUGUAGGGGGACUGCCCGAUAGAGGGGGAUAACUACUGGAACCGGUAGCUAAUACCGAAUACUAUCGGAUAACCCAUAUGGGAUUAGCUAGUAGGUGAGGUAAUGGCUAACCUAGGAGACGAUCCCUAGCUGGUCUGAGAGGUUGAUCAGCCACACGGGGACUGAGACACGGCCCAGACUCCUACGGAGGCAGCAGUGGGGAAUAUUGCACAAUGGGCGCAAGCCUGAUGCAGCCAUGCCGCGUGUAUGAAGAAGGCCCUAGGGUUGUAAAGUACUUUCAGUCGGGAGGCGUUACCGACAGAAGAAGCACCGGCUAACUCCGUGCCAGCAGCCGCGGUAAUUC
rnacentral:rRNA from 1 species